rnacentral:lncRNA from 1 species
GAGACACCAACAUGACCUCUCCCAGGGAAGUGCGGUAUGCUUCCAAUUUAGGGACAGCCUUGUGGUAUGGGCCUGAGACUCCAGGGCUGCACAGCUUCUGGUAUCCCAACUCUUACCCUGACGCAGUCCUUUAGAUAACUGAAGACGGUGGAAACUCUAUCCCAUCGCCAAUCACGUAUAUGAAACUUACUAGAAUCAGUUCCCACAGCCAGGUCUCUGGGAAGGACUGGGAGUCCUCUGAGAGCCCUCUGUCUGCGGGCGAUGGCGAUGCCAACCCAGCCUUCGGGGCCAUACCGCCAUCUGCUGACGAGGCUAAGAAGAAAAUACAGGAAAACAGAAGACUCCCAUUAUGAUCUGGGAGGCUAGUAAGAAAUUCAGAGAACUCAUAGGAAGAAAAGGAACACCACGGAGAGGAGAGGUCAGAAAGGCCACUGGGGAAGUACACACAAAGAGUUGUGGUCAGAGACUGAACAGAUAUGGGAUCCAGGCUUCAAAGACUCUUCCUGGAGAGACAUUCUGGAAAUGUCCUGCAUCUACGACACAGAACCAAUCUGAUGUGGCAGACUCGGUCUGAGAGCAGAGGAGGUUUUCAGGGUCCUGGGUCCCACAGCUUAACUUCCUGAGUGGCAAUGCUGUAGUGUGGAGGGUAGCAACUGCCAUCUCUUGGCUUCUUGAUUUUGGCAUCUAAUAAAGUUUUCAAAUGCAUAUCCUGAUCAUAGAGACCAACAAAUGAAGUGUCAGUGUGCCUAAUGAGGUCUAACUAGCUCAGCCAUAAAUGUAUUAAAAAUAACGAUGUUUAUGCUUUC